GACGAACGCUGGCGGCGUGCUUAACACAUGCAAGUCGAACGGAAAGGCCCUGUAUUUGUGGGGUGCUCGAGUGGCGAACGGGUGAGUAUCACGUGAGUAACCUGCCCUUGACUUUGGGAUAAAUUCAGGAAACUGGGGCUAAUACAGGAUAGGAGCUCCUGCUGCAUGGGGGGGGUUGGAGAGUUUCGCCGUUUGGGGACGGACUCGCGGCUUAUCAGCGUGUUGGUGGGGUAGUGGCUUACCAAGGCUUUGACGGGUAGCCGGCCUGGGAGGGUGACCGGCCACAUUGGGACUGGGAUACGGCCCGGACUCCUGCGUGAGGCAGGGGUGGGGAAUAUUGCACGAUGGGCGGAAGCCGGAUGCAGCAACGCCGCGUGCGGGAUGACGGCCUUCGGGUUGUAACCCGCUUUCGCCUGUGACGAAGCGUGAGUGACGGUAAUUGGUAAAGAAGCACCGGCUAACUACGUG
rnacentral:rRNA from 1 species